AAAAAUUUUCGUUUUUUUUAAAAUAAAAACAGAAAAAUAAAAACAGAAAAAAUAAAAACAGAAAAUAAAAACACCCCUCAGUAAGUGUUGAUUCUCUUUUUCUUAAUCUUUUUCUUAAUCUUCUCUCUCAACUUUCUCUUUUUCUCUUUUCUUCUUUUCUUCUUUAUUUUUGCAUAUUUUUUCUUUUUUUCUUUUUUCUCAACCACUGCUUUUUCUCCCUCAUCAUCUUUAUCUUCCUCGCCCAACUUUUCUGUUUCUUCUUCCUUUAAAUCUCUCUCUAUCUUCUCCUCCUUUUUCUCCAUUUUUUUCUCCUCUAUCUUCUCCUCAUCAACAACCUUAUCACUUUCAGAGAUAGUGGCUUGGCAUUCCUCCCUAGGGUUAACUUCAGUAUUAACCCUAAAACCCAGAGACUUCAUCAUGCAAGAGAGUUGGUUCUGCCAUAAAUGUUCUUCAGCUUCCCCCAACCUUUCUUUUCGCAAAGAGGAUUGUUUCUACCAAAGACGUUGUUUGACUUCCCCCAACGUUUCUCUUGGUAUAGAGAAUUGUUUCUUCUGUAAACGUUGUUCAGCUUCCCCCAACGUUUCUCUUGGAAAAGAGGAUUGUUUCCACCGUAAACGUUGUUCAGCUUCCUUCAACGUUUCUCUUGGCAUAAAGAGUUGUUGCCUAACAUCUCGCUCAUUCUAUCUUUGAUCCAAGUUUGAGUGAGGUUCCCACCAGUAGUUGAAAUCAUUUUGAUAGAAUUGAGUGUCCAUAUAGUCAAAUUCUUGUCCAUACUACAUUCUGCAAACAUUAGGCACAAAACCCUAGAAAACAUUUAUUAGAACAAAAAUAAAAAUAAACAUAAAAUCAAGUCAAAUUUAAUCAAAUCCACACUACUAGAAAAGUUAAACCACGAGUCCCCGGCAAC
rnacentral:lncRNA from 1 species